rnacentral:tRNA from 1 species
UGGCUCAGUGGUACAGCGCUUGCCUAACAUGCAAGAAGCCCUGGGUUUGAUCUCCAG